rnacentral:lncRNA from 1 species
GGAAGGUUGGGCCUGAAGCCCGCUUCGCCAUCCAGGUGUAGAAGUAGUUCCGCGCUCCGCGUUUUGCAGACCGCCGCGGUGUCGGAGGCGAGGCGAGGAAGGGAGCUGGAAUAACAAAGGGCUGGAGAGAUCACUCCUUCCACCGGCGGGAGAGAGGAGGCAACAUGAAUUCAUUCCCAAGGCUCUGGUAGUCUGACAGCCGGUGAACUCAGCCUGGAAUUCAUGAGGGCUCCGAGGCUGCAGCUCGGGGCCCCAGGGACUUGAUGUGUCUGUGUGCGGGUGGGGAACCUGUUUGAUUUUCCCAGGGGAAGCCCUGCCUUAUCCUGCCACUGGGCGCUAGGGAAGGUGCUCCUUUGCAGCCUCCCCGUCUUCCGAUCUGAUCCGGCACACAAGGAAUGGACUGUUACUGCCGCUGCUCCCCCACCCACCACAGAUGUGAUACUGUUCGGUGGGACCCAGUGAGAAGCCAGUGCCAUCAUCCUUCCUCGAUCAGGCUGCUUUAUGCCUGGAGAAGUACUCAUACCUGUAGUCUUCUCUCAGAUCUGCUCUGCCUCCAGCCGUCUCCAGAGGCUUUUUUUCUUACCCAAGAAACUACCUCCAUGACUUGUUGGAAGGAAGGGAGGGACACAGUGAUGACAGAGCCUGGAAAGUUGUCUGGGCUGCAGACGCAGCGGUGGUACUCGAUCCAGUUAACCAAUGAUGCCCUGGCUCAGGAAAGGUCUCAGGAACUGCAUAGUGACCCAGGGGCACUGGCACCUGGCCACUUGAAACUCUCCACCAGUGUGGCUCCCAGGAGCAGCGGGCCUGGGCGAGACCUGACAUGUUGAUGUGCUCGGCAGCCCGCCUUGCUCAACGCCCUGGCUCAGGGCCACCUCUGCCAGCUGCAGGACUGGGGCUGUUGUCCACCACGCCUGCCUGACACUCUACCCUGACCUUGGCUGCUGCCCAACCUUGGAUUCAGAUGCACCAGGGGAGAGGUCAGAGAAAGAUGUGUUUGAGAGAAGAGCUUCAUCUUUAACUCCCCCUGCCCAUCUGUGGGCAGCCGGAAAUAGAGCAAGGAGGGCCACCAUUGAGCCUCUGGGAUAUGACAAUACUGGCCCCACAGGAAUUGUCUGGAGGUCAAGUGAAGGUGGGGGAAGGAGUGUAACUUUGCAGAGUGUAACUCACCCAUGGUUGGUGCCUAAGGUAACAGUAGAGUCAUACCUACCCAGCACUUGGCCUUGCUCUCAGCAACAGCAAUACAACAAUGUCCUUCAGCAGAAACAGAAGACAGAUCUGCAGGAACACUUUCCAGAAGGACAUACAGGCUUCUGGGAAACCAGGAACCAGAGAGAUAAUGGCAGUAGCUGAGACCCGCAUGCCAUCUCUUGUCAUCCAGCUGUUGGUGAGCUGCACACACACACACACGCACACACACACACACACACACACACACACACACAUAGGACACAGGACACAAAUAUGCAUUCAGAUGACACAGACACUGUGUUAGUUUUCUGUCACUGUGGCAAGAUACCUGAGAAAAUCAACUUAAAGAAGGAAAGGUUUAUUUGGGGUAAGUUUUAGAGGUUCAGGGUAUGCUCAGUUUGCUCUGUUGUUUGCAGGCAAAGCAGACACAUCAUGGAGGGAGCAAGUGGUAGAGGAAACUGCUCAUCUCUUGGCAACCAGGGAAUAGAGAGAGACAGACAGAGACAGAGAGAGACAGAUAGAGAGAAAGAGAGAGAGAGACAGAGAGAGACAGAGAGAGACAGAGAGACAGAGAGAGACAGAGAGAGAGACAGAGAGAGAGAGAGAGACAGAGAGACAGAGAGAGACAGAGAGACAGAGAGAGAGAGAGGAGUCUGGUCUAGG